CCUACGGGGGGCUGCAGUGGGGAAUAUUGGACAAUGGGGGGAACCCUGAUCCAGCGACGCCGCGUGAGUGAAGAAGUAUUUCGGUAUGUAAAGCUCUAUCAGCAGGGAAGAAAGAAAUGACGGUACCUGACUAAGAAGCUCCGGCUAACUACGUGCCAGCAGCCGCGGGAAUACGUAGGGGGCAAGCGUUAUCCGGAUUUACUGGGAGUAAAGGGAGCGGAGACGGCGGUGCAAGUCUGAAGUGAAAGGCGGGGGCCCAACCCCUGGACUGCUUUGGAAACUGUAUGGCUGGAGUGCAGGAGAGGUAAGUGGAAUUCCUAGUGUAGCGGUGAAAUGCGUAGAUAUUAGGAAGAACACCAGUGGCGAAGGCGGCUUACUGGACUGUAACUGACGUUGAGGCUCGAAAGCGUGGGGAGCAAACAGGAUUAGAUACCCUUGUAGUC
rnacentral:rRNA from 1 species